rnacentral:rRNA from 1 species
UACGGAGGAUGCGAGCGUUAUCCGGAUUUAUUGGGUUUAAAGGGUGCGUAGGCGGACUGUCAAGUCAGCGGUAAAAUUGAGAGGCUCAACCUCUUCCCGCCGUUGAAACUGGUGGUCUUGAGUGGAUGAGAAGUAUGCGGAAUGCGUGGUGUAGCGGUGAAAUGCAUAGAUAUCACGCAGAACUCCGAUUGCGAAGGCAGCAUACCGGCGCCCUACUGACGCUGAGGCACGAAAGCGUGGGUAUCGAACAGG